rnacentral:rRNA from 1 species
UACGUAGGGUGCAAGCGUUGUCCGGAAUUAUUGGGCGUAAAGAGCUCGUAGGCGGUCUGUCACGUCGGCUGUGAAAACCCGAGGCUCAACCUCGGGCCUGCAGUCGAUACGGGCAAACUAGAGUACUGCAGGGGAGACUGGAAUUCCUGGUGUAGCGGUGAAAUGCGCAGAUAUCAGGAGGAACACCGGUGGCGAAGGCGGGGUCUCUGGGGCAGUAACUGACGUGGAGGAGCGAAAAGCCGUGGGGGAGCGAACAGG